rnacentral:lncRNA from 1 species
AAGGACCAAAUCAAAAGCAAAGUCAUGUUUGGAGGUAAUCCAAGUAAGUCAUCCUGGGAUACAUUAGGCAAAGAGAUAAAUCAUGUCCAAUACUUUCAAAAUAAAAGAUCGACUGAUCAAAUAUACAAAAAGUGAUCAUUUGUUAUAUACCAAUCCAUACUGGUAUGAUAAGAAGAUAGUCAAUCCAUACCAAGUAUAAUAUCAAAGUUCC